rnacentral:rRNA from 1 species
CCUACGGGAGGCAGCAGUAGGGAAUAUUGGGCAAUGGAGGCAACUCUGACCCAGCCAUGCCGCGUGCAGGAAGACGGUCCUCUGGAUUGUAAACUGCUUUUGAAUGGGAAGAAUGUGUGGCUUGCGAGCUAUAAUGACGGUACCAUUAGAAUAAGCCACGGCUAACUACGUGCCAGCAGCCGCGGUAAUACGUAGGUGGCGAGCGUUAUCCGGAUUUAUUGGGUUUAAAGGGUGCGUAGGCGGCUUAAUAAGUCGGUGGUUAAAAGUAGCAGCUUAACUGUUUUACAUGCCAUCGAUACUGUUGAGCUUGAGAUAUUUGGAGGCAGCUAGAAUUUCCGGUGUAGCGGUGAAAUGCAUAGAUACCGGAAGGAAUACCAAUUGCGAAGGCAGGUUGCUACGAAUAAACUGACGCUGAUGCACGAAAGCGUGGGGAUCAAACAGGAUUAGAUACCCUGGUAGUCCACGCCGUAAACGAUGAUUACUAGUUGUUGGGGUUUUAAAGCCUCAGUGACGAACGGAAACCGGAACGUAAGUAAGUACCACCGUCGGGAGGUACGGCCGGCCGAACGGUAGUAACGUUACGAAAGUAAGUUAAGUUAGUACGGCGNGAGAGCGACGACGGACGACGACGGAGGGAGGAGG